AUUUUAAUAAUUAAACUCUUUAUUAUUACAUUGAAGCUGUAAAUUUAAAUUAGAGUA
rnacentral:tRNA from 1 species